UGGGGAAUCUUGCACAAUGGGCGAAAGCCUGAUGCAGCAACGCCGCGUGCGGGAAGACAGCCCUAGGGUUGUAAACCGCUUUCAGCAGGGAAGAAACUGACGGUACCUGCAGAAGAAGAUGCGGCCAACUACGUGCCAGCAGCCGCGGUGACACGUAGGCAUCAAGCGUUAUCCGGAUUUAUUGGGCGUAAAGAGCUCGUAGGCGGUUCGGUAAGUCGGGUGUGAAAACUCUGGGCUCAACCCAGAGAGGCCACUCGAUACUGCUGUGACUAGAGUGCGGUAGGGGGAGCGGGGGAAUUUCCUGGUGUAGCGGUGAAAUGCGCAGAUAUCAGGAGGAACACCAGUGGCGAAGGCGCCGCUCUGGGCCGUAACUGACGCUGAGGAGCGAAAGCAUGGGUAGCAAACAGGAUUAGAUACCCUGGUAGUCCAUGCCGUAAACGUUGGGCACUAGGUGUGGGUCUCAACCAACGAGAUCCGCGCCGUCGCUAACGCA
rnacentral:rRNA from 1 species